rnacentral:rRNA from 1 species
CAGCCGCCACGGUAAUACAGAGGGUGCGAGCGUUAAUCGGAUUUACUGGGCGUAAAGCGUGCGUAGGCGGCUUUUUAAGUCGGAUGUGAAAUCCCUGAGCUUAACUUAGGAAUUGCAUUUGAUACUGGGAAGCUAGAGUAUGGGAGAGGAUGGUAGAAUUCCAGGUGUAGCGGUGAAAUGCGUAGAGAUCUGGAGGAAUACCGAUGGCGAAGGCAGCCAUCUGGCCUAAUACUGACGCUGAGGUACGAAAGCAUGGGGAGCAAACAGGAUUAGAUACCCCCGUAGUCCCUGUCUCUUAUAC